UACGAAGGGGGCUAGCGUUGUUCGGAAUCACUGGGCGUAAAGCGCACGUAGGCGGAUCUUUAAGUCAGGGGUGAAAUCCCGAGGCUCAACCUCGGAACUGCCUUUGAUACUGGGGAUCUCGAGUCCGGGAGAGGUGAGUGGAACUGCGAGUGUAGAGGUGAAAUUCGUAGAUAUUCGCAAGAACACCAGUGGCGAAGGCGGCUCACUGGCCCGGAACUGACGCUGAGGUGCGAAAGCGAGGGGAGCAAACGG
rnacentral:rRNA from 1 species